AUUGAUGGAUGGAAAAUUUCUCCUGGAUUCAGAUUAGAUGUUUUUUUCUAAGGGAUUUUGUGCCAUAAAACUAUUGGAAGAAUUAAAUGAGUUUGGUGGGAUGUCAUGCUAAUCUGUGAAUGGUUUCAAAGCAUUUUAUUCUUUAGUAACAGUAACCUGUAGGGAAUUAAAAUUAUGUUUCACUAAAUCUUGCUUGAGUUCUUAUGACUUUUUCUUUCUUUUUUUUUUUGCACAAUUCAAUCCUAUUGCCCACUCUACACUGAAGAAAGUUCUCUAAUAAUAAUUUGAUUUCAUUUGUACUCUUUUCUUAUGUGGAUACUAUAUAGAUUUUUUUCUAAGUCUCUCAUCAUUUGCUAUUAGAGAUGUUAUUUCCUUAAUUUCUAAAUCAAUUUCUUUAAUUUGUCUCUGCCUUUCUCUUGAUUUAUUGCAUAUACUAUCACUCACAGAUUCACUUUCUUGCACACAUUUUUCAUUGUUUCUCAACUUUUUCCUAAUUUUAAUAGCAGCUUCCAUUUCACUAUUUUUUCUAUCUCCAUGUGGCACAGUAUAUACUCUAAAGGUCUGGCUACAUAAUUCUUUCCUAACCAUAUCUGAGUACUUAGGUUUGGCUCCAGAAUUAAUGGCUUUUUGCAUCUCUUGCAAAUCAUUUGCUUGCUUAGUGGACUUUAGCAUGUAAUGAGAACAGUAAAUGGACUUUUUGUAUCUAGUUUGUGUAUUUUUGUUGUCAUGUACUUCAUAUUUCUUCUUCAAAAGACAAUUUUUAUAAGGUGUCCUCUCUUGUGGCAAAAAAAAAGCAUUCCUCAGUUUCUCUUUGUACUGGCUUUGGUUUUGUGUAAAUAGAUUUUCUGUAAAUCCUAACCAUGUUUAGUUCCUUGAUUUCCUCUAUCUCCUUUUCUUUUAGAUUUUUCUUUGAUAUGUCUAAUUUAUCUUUCAAGUCUUGCAUUUGUUUGUUUUGUUCUGUGUGAUUAUCAUGGAGGUCACUAGCUGUUUCACACAGCUCAAUCAGACUGACCAUGUCAUAUUUAUGGAAAUAGUGCUUAAAGAAGUUCUUUAAGUGAGGUGUGCAACCCCUCAAAAACUGUCUAUGAACAUGACUUGAAGACUUCACUAUUAGCCUCUAGACCCAAUAUCUAUUCUGCCAUUUCUGACAGAUGAUCAAUGUAUGUGGCUGGAUUUUCCCCUUUGUUCUGCAAGAGUUUAUCAAACCUAGCUCAUGCAUUUGGCUUUGAGCAACACUGCUUUAUCAUUUGGAGCAAAUCUUCCCUGCAUUUUCUCAGGUAGUACAUGCUAGUGAGGUUUGCAAAGUCGAGAUCUUCCCUUUGCUCCUGAGUUGGCCAGCUAGUUAAGUUAUUAUCAGUUCUGGUCUUUUCAAGGAUUUGCCUUUGCUCAUGGGGGUUAAACAGUUCAGAGAAAAGAAACUCUACAUCUUCAAAAUCAGGGUCAAAGAUCCUAAAAGCACAUUUCAGUUCCUUUUGUGUUUUGAAAGGUUGUUCUAUGAAAUUUGGAAAAUGUUUCUUUAGGGAUUCAAGUUCCUGUGAUGUGAAUUGCCUGUGAACUUUAGAUUGCAGUACACCAGUUGUAGUUGAUAGCUUGGUGACCUCCUUUAAUAGACAAAUCUUCUCUGGUUCACUGUCAGGCUUGAUGUCAUUGUCACCUUCAUUUACCUUAGCAUUGACCUUAGCUUUCUUAGUCUUUCUCUUUUUCUUUGGGUGCACUGUCUUCCUGUCCAUUGUUCUUGUCCUCAAUCUUAUCUAGCUCUUUUUCCUUGAUCAAUUCUUCAAACAAGUUCUUAAUGAUGUUUUCCAGGUUGUUAUCAAUAACCAGUAUCUGUUCUGCCUUUUUGGGGAUCACAAAUCUAAAGAACUUUCUCAACUGGGUUAGGGUCUGUAAAACUGCCAUAAAGAUCACAUAAACUUGAUUCAGAAUUUGCCAGAGCAUUGUUUCAGUUUGAAAAGGUAACUGCAAUAUAAACAUGGUUUGGUUGCUUAUGUAGUCCAAAGAAUAAAAUAUCAUGUGGGUCAUUUUACUGUAAAGUAUGUUGUAGACCCAGAAUCCAACAAAAACUGCCAUAACUACAGCUACACAGAUAACCUGCUUAAACAUCUUUCAUAAUAUUGUUUCUAAGGAUUGUGGGGCUCGGUCUGUUAUAGAGGUACCAAUCUGUAACAGAAAAAUUUUAUCUGCAUGAGUUUGCACAGAAAUCGAGAAAAAUGUAUACCCAUGCACAUAUGUAAAUUUAUAUAGGUACAACUUAUGUACACAUGUAGAUACUAAUGUACUAACAAACUAAUUUUAUUAGAAUAAUUUAUUAAUAUUCUAAUUACUAACAAUUGUGACAACUUAGUAAAUUUGUUCAAAGUCUUAGGAAAGUAGAGACAGAUAUAGAACUACUUAGAUAUAGAAGUUAGAUUGUAUUGCAAUGGUAGGUUAGCAAUUGUUAGUGAUAGAAAAUGCUACUUAGUGAAUUUAUAGACAUUAGGAGAUAAGACAAUUGCAUAUUCAAAAUGUUAUGGAUAUUGUUGGAAUGGUUUGAUAAUUGUUACAUGAUUUGUUAUUAUGUAAAAACCAUGUUCAUGUAAAUUCCUAUUACCUAAACCAUUUUCCUAUACCCAAUCUUAGCAUAGAAGUAGGUAGACAAGAAUAGCUAAGAUAAGUUAGGAUUUGUUAUUUUGGGAGGGUAAAGGAAUGUUGAAGAUAGUAUAGGGUAAGAAUAGUUGGUUAGAAAUAUAUGAAAGGUAAGUAUCAUUAAAAUUUGCUGGGUGCAAAAUUUUUUAAGACAAAAAAGGGAGGGAUGUGGAGAAGGCAUGCAUGCAAGAGAGAAAGCUAAGGACAGAAGAGCUGUCAAUCAAUAGGAACAUUCCAUUUGGAAUGUUCCCGGGAAAACAGUUGGAGCUAAGGUAACAGCUAAACUGGACUGGACCCUUUGGCUUCUGACAGAAUGGUAGAGAAAAAGCUGUGGUUUCUGGCUUUUGGACUAAGUUUUGGCUGCUUGUAGCUGAUGGUGAAGACCUUUAAGCUUUUGCUGACUGACUGAGGUUAGCUGGCUGGUUAGAAGAAAAGAAGACAUAAAGAUGUCUCUGGCUCUGAUUCUGACCAGGAUAGUGAUGAGUGGAAAGAUUAUUCUAACUCCUUUCAAAAGUGUGUGAGUUCUUUCAUAAAAAUUCUUCUAACAUCA